rnacentral:rRNA from 1 species
UAGGUGAACCUGACGGAAGGAUCAUUAACGAAUAGACCCAGAGGGGUUCGUUGCUGCCGUCUCGGUGUGCACGCCCUUCUGAUUCAUUCAACCAUUCAUCCACCUGUGAACCUUCUGCGUGAUUGGGAGUCCUUCGACGAAGUCGCGAAGGUCGCAUCUGUCUCAGCUCUGCGGCCUCGUGGCUGAGGAGCCUGACUUCCCUUCACGUCUCAUAAACACACCUUUAAAAAAACAGUCUCAGAAAGUCAACGGUCGUAGCGGACCAUAAACGUGUCUAUACAACUUUUGACAACGGAUCUCUUGGCUCUCGCAUCGAUGAAGAACGCAGCGAAAUGCGAUAAGUAAUGUGAAUUGCAGAAUUCAGUGAAUCAUCGAAUCUUUGAACGCACCUUGCGCCCCUUGGUAUUCCGAGGGGCAUGCCUGUUUGAGUGUCAUUAAAUUCUCAACCGCUCUCGGUUCGUCAUUCGAGCUGACGAGUUGCGUUGGAUCGUGGGGGUCUCUCUUUGCCGGCUGUUCGCGGUCGGCUCCCCUCAAAUGCAUUAGCGACCGUCCUCUGCUGGAUCGUGCACUCGGUGUGAUAGUGUUCUCAUACGUCUACGCCGUCGUUGCCAUCCCGGGGCCACAUGUGGCCUCAAGGAGGUGAUCACAAAAGCUUUGUCGCUCACAAAUCGUCCCUAUAUGCGCGCAUAUAUGCGCCCAUUUCGUUUGGGACAGCGCUUCGGCGCUCGUUGAUCAUGACUUGACCUCAAAUCAGGUAGAC